UGAUGGAAACCGUGUAUUUGGUGUUUAUUAUUAGUGCUUCAAGCUGAGGGGCAUGGCAGGGUCCCUAGUUCCAGCACCACUGGAGGUAGGUUUACCCUCAUAACAAAUGUUAACUAGAUGCUUAGAGGCCAUUGUGGGCAGGGGAGUUGUAUCUGUCCCAAGAGAGAGACAGCUGAGAUAAGGAACUGUGAUAAAAAGCCCCAGUAAAAACUGUGUCAUUCAGCAAACUUCCUCUGAGAGAGAUCACAAGAGGAUAAAGUAGGUACAGUUUUCUUGCCUUGUUGCAGAAGGCAGUGGCCACCACGAAGCAGCUCCUCUCCCACCUUCUGGUUGACAAGUGUCGGAAUUUGUCUACUUGUCCUCCUUUUGCAACCUGUGAAAACAUCCCCGGAGGCUACCAGUGCACCUGCAAUCAGGGGUUUGCAUCUAGUUCUGGGGAGGAACACUUCUCUGAUCCUACAGUAAAGUGUGGAACUGAUGACAAUCCAGAAGGAAAAACCUGGGUGUUAAUUAGCUAUGCAAAAUGUCAUGAGGCUUUGAAACUGGAU